UAUUUCGGAAUGGAUAUCGGUGAAAAGGGAAUCAGGUGAAAAUCCUGAGCAGAGCCGCUGCUGUAAGCCUCGGCAAUCGCUUGACGAAAUUUGUGAAAGUCACUGCACAAAUCUGAAUGUGUGGGAAGGCUGUCAAAGACGAUUGAGGUAAGCCAGAAUACCUGCCAAUAUUUA
rnacentral:ncRNA from 1 species